rnacentral:tRNA from 1 species
GCCUUCUUAGUGUAGUAGGCAGCGCGUCAGUCUCAUAAUCUGAGGUCCUGAGUUCAAACCUCUGAGUGGGCA